rnacentral:lncRNA from 1 species
AGGACUCACUGAGCACAGACCACACAUGCAUCAGGAACCUGCCCAGCAUAACCUGUAGCCAUCCCUGCAGCCUCAUGUGGUAGGCGCCCUCUUACCCCGUCUUUCAGAUGAGAGUGAAGAAGAUCAGAGAGGUGUAGUGACCCGACCUUGUCAUGCAGCUUCGUAAGUGGAGCAGGGUUCAAACCCAAGCAACCUGAACCCCAAGCCUGAGCUUGUCCACCAGUCCACGCUGCUAUGCCCUCACUUUCUGGGGCCUCACAGUUGGCACUUGGCACUCAGCACAAGUUGGCCAAAGCAGAGAGCUUGGGCCCCCCAGCAGCGGGGCUGUCUGUCUGAGGAGGUGGGGCCCAGGCACCUCUUUUCCUGGGACCAGCCCUCUUGCUUGGUUCUGAUAUGCCUGCGAUGGGGGUUUCUCCCACAGCUGCAGAAGCCAGGCCGCCUGCCUGACACAGCACUGCCUACGCUUCAGAAUGGGGCGGCUGUAAUGGAUCUGGUCUGGGAUCCCUUUGAUCCGCACCGGCUUGCUGUGGGUAAGGGGCCUGGGUACCCAGGG